rnacentral:lncRNA from 1 species
GUGAUGUUGUACUGAAUAACACUCCAAACUCUGACAUGGAAGUGAGUAAGAAAGUAACUGGUACAUUGGUAAUCAAUCAAUUUUGUCAAUACUUCUCAUCUUCCCAUCCAUCUUUUAUCAAAAGAUUGACAACGAUUAGAAAAGAGGGGUCCAAGUUUGGGAGUAAAUUGAAUUCCCUGGGUUUGUAGGUGACACUUCAGGGGGAAAAAAAAAAACACCUCUUCAUUUUUAUACAAUGAAUACAGGCCAUCAUUUGUCUGUCUUGCUGUGUUGUCAUUAACAUUGUCAGAGUUUAUUGAUGUCCUUCUCUUUUGAUGGCUGUCUGAAUAUAGAACGGAGGAAAGCACUUGAGAUAUCUGAGGCACCUGAAGCUGGUCCCCUGAUACCGAAUGGAAUGGAAAUGAAAACAAAGUGUGAUGUUGUACUGAAUAACACUCCAAACUCUGACAUGGAAAAACCAGGGACGUUUGCCAAGUACUCCACUGUCACAUUAGAAAACGAUUCAGAUCUUCAAGCUGUGGUUGACGUGUUACGAGACCUUCCCCAGGAUGUUAUUCGACCCAUUCUUCGAAACCUGGAUGUUCAGGAUACGGACAUAGAUAACUUGAAUACCUCUGGUUACAAUGAAAAGAUUUAUGCAUACUUCAACUGUUGGAGGCAGAAAGUGGGCAAGGAUUGCUCUUUGGUACCAAUUCUAGAAAAACUCGAGUUCCGCAGUCAAAAGCUUACCAUGGAUAAGGUUAUGGGGGAGGGGGGGGGGGGGGGGGGGGGGGGGGGGGGGGGGGGGGGGGGGGGGGGGGGGGGGGGGGGGGGGGGGGGGGGGGGGGGGGGGGGGGGGGGGGGGGGGGGGGGGGGGGGGGGGGGGGGGGGGGGGGGGGGGGGGGUAAGAGCCCCAGACCCACAAACGCUUGACAAAGAAGAAAGCAACGAUGUAAGAGCCCCAGACCCACAAACGCUUGACAAAGAAGAAAGCAAUGAUGCUGCACCUCUGCAGAGAGAUGAACAUUAA